AAGGAGAAGGAGAAGAAGGAGAAGAAGAACAUUCUAGGCAGAAGGAGCAGCCAGGGAAGAGACCCCGACGGACAGGAGCUGGACAGGGCCAAACAUAAAGAAGGCCCAGCUGGUUGGAUGAAAUUGCCAUAAACUGAUCUGGGAAAGACUGGAGAAGAGUGGGUUUGGAGAGGAAAAUCCAAUGAUCAUUUAUGGACACGUAACCCUUGAGAUGCCUGUUAGACAUCCAAGAGGAGUUGCAGAGUCAGCUGCUAGGUGUAUGACUCUGGACUUCAGGAGAGAGAUCAGCACUGGAGCCUUGGAUCUGGGAGGCAUAGUGAGUGAAU
rnacentral:lncRNA from 10 species